rnacentral:rRNA from 1 species
CCUGGCGGCCUUAGCGCGGUGGUCCCACCUGGCCCCAUGCCGAACUCAGAAGUGAAACGCCGUAGCGCCGAUGGUAGUGUGGGGUCUCCCCAUGCGAGAGUAGGGAACUGCCAGGC